rnacentral:rRNA from 1 species
AUGAUAAGGAUGCAGGAUGAGGUUGGUGAAGUGGUAGACGAAGAUCUCUUUGCCUUGGCAUGUGGUCCCGAUCGGAGAGUCCGGAAAUUCUCAUCAUGCAUAGUGAAUGGGAUUAGAUUUAGUACUGUUGAUCGUGAUAGCAACAAGAGAACGCAAAACAGUGGAGUCAUGACCGAAGGUGAACAUGAUCGUAAGCUCAUAAAUUUUUAUGGAACCUUGAAAGAGAUCAUUCAGUUAGACUACAACUUGGAUGACAGGUCAGUUGUUUUGUUUAAAUGUGACUGGUUUAAACUUGAUGGAAAGAAGACCGAGCUUAAAAAUGAUGGUUAUUUCAAAAGCAUAAAUGUUGGAAGUAUGUGGUACAAGGACGAUUCUUUGAUUCUGGCUACGCAGGCUAGAAAGGUCUUUUAUUUGCCAGACACGAAGUAUGGGAAGAAUUGGCAAGUUGUGCAAACAUUUGAACAUAGGCAUCUCUUCAAUAUUAGUGAAACUGAGGGUGUACCUUUUGCUGGUCCUGCAUAUCAAGAGGACGAGUGUUGUGAUGUGGAGGGUAGGAGAAUAUCUGUUUCUAACCUUACAUCCGAGAAGCCUUUGCAUAGAGAUGAUGAGCAAGGCAUUGUUUUUGAAGCUGAUGUAGUUGCUCGUUUGAUGAAAGAAAAAAGCACAGAAGUGUAUGAAGGUGGCAAUGAAGAGGAAGAAGAUGAUACGGGUCUGGAGUAUUGCAGAGAAGACGAAGGAGGUGCCAUGGAUGUUGACAGCGAUGAUGAGUAG